ACAGAGAAAGAGACAAUAGAGAUUUACCGUGUAUGAGCUGGACUGUUUUGGACUUACCUGUUGGCGUUUGGACCUGGACCUACCGAGAACCCGAUUCGUGUACCGAACCCUGCUAUCCUUGACCUCGCCUACGGCCUGUGUGGACCAGGACGAAGAAACAAACACACAGCCUUCCUAAGCCAGGAUUCAGACACGGCCAGGACAUCAGGGUUUGAGCGGAGUGUGCUAAAGCAGACCUGAGCCCUAGGACCAUGCCCCAGGACUACCUGACAUGAUGACUCCUUGAUGUCCCCAGUCCACCUGGCCGUGCUGCUGCUCCAGUUUCAACUGUUCUGCCUUAUUAUUAUUCGACCAUGCUGGUUAUUUAUGAACAUUUGAACAGCUUGGCCAUGUUCUGUUAUAAUCUCUACCCGGCACAGCCAGAAAAGGACUGGCCACCCCACAUAGCCUGGUUCCUCUCUAGGUUUCUUCCUAGGUUUUGGCCUUUCUAGGGAAUUUUUCCUAACCACCGUGCUUCUACACCUGCAUUGCUUGCUGUUUGAGGUUUUAGGCUGGGUUUCUGUACAGCACUUUGAGAUAUCAGCUGAUGUACGAAGGGUUAUAUAAAUAAAAAAAAUUGAUGUAUUAAUUUUUAUAGUAUGCUUAUGUGGGAUAAGUUACUUGGCCCCAGAGAGGGGAGAGGUCAGGUUAGUCUUAUCUGUGAAUGUGUCUGGAACUAUUCCUAAACCAUGUGAAGGGAUGGUGUGAUUAACGGGGAACCAAUUAGGUGGCUCCACAAUGUCUGUGUGCCAGUCACUCUUCUCUCUGUAAGCUUGUCCAGGAGGGUUUUUCUAUUUUAUGGGAGUAUCUUGAAAUUGACAAUUGAUAUAUGCCAGGUAAUGUUUUGGUCCUAAAUGGUACCACGAACGAGAUAAGAACUUUGUCUAAGAUGGCAAACUGAAGGAUAAUUAAUAGCUAAUGCUUUCUGGCUAUAGGAUACUCCUUUUUUCUGGUAAAAGGUUAUUUGUAUAAUGUUCCUAAGGUCUGUUAUUUGUCAUGUGAGUUUAGA